rnacentral:lncRNA from 10 species
GCUCGAUGAAGACAUAGACAUAUUAUUCAGGAUUUUUAUUUUUCUUUUUUGAGACAGGGUCUUGCUCUGUUGACCAAGCUGGAGUGCAGUGAUACAAUCAUAGCUCACUGCAGCCUUGAACUCCUGAGCUCAAGCAGUCCUCCCACAUCAGCCUCCCAAGUAGCUGGGACUACAGGUAUGUGCCACAAUGCCCGCUAAUUUUUUCUUUUCUUUUUUCUUUUUUUUUUUUUUUUGUAGAGAUGGGGUCUCGCUAUGUUGCCCAGGCUGAUCUUGAACUCCUGGCCUCAAGCGAUCCUCCAGCCUUGGCCUCCCAAUGUGCUGGGAUUACAGGUGUGAGCCACUGCCCCUGGUUAUUCAGGCCUGUUACGUUCCAGAUUCUUCCUUCACUUCCAUAGAGAAAUCCCUAGUGAUAAAGAAUUUAUGAGCCAAGGGAAAUAUCUUGGAGUUUUAGGCAUCUAAUAAAUAUAUUCAUCUUCUGAUGAUGAUGAUAAUUAGCAUGUAUUGAUGCUUACCAAGCUCUGGGUAAAAUGCUAAGUGUUUUACACAUAUUGUCUCAUUUAAUCUUCUCAACAAUGCUAUGUGCUCAGGUACUGAACAGCCUCAUUUUACAGAUGGGAAACUAGCAAAGUUGAAAGACUGUCCACGUUCACACAGCAGCAAAUUAGACAAGCUGGAAUUUGCACCUGUGCAUUUGACUCCGAAGUCUGAACUCUCUCUAGGAAUUUACACUCUGCAAGGGUGUGGAACACAUACCAGACAUCACAUAAACUUUACAAAUGAUAAAGGAGCACCUGCCCUAACCCCAAGCAGACAGACAACAAGGGCCAGGAUGGAUUUUAGAACACUCUGACCUGUGAGAGAGGCGGACAGGCCUGCACCAGCUGUAUUUCUGUAGUGACAUACACAGGUGUAUCACGCAGGGAGCCUGUCCAGUCACGGAGCCCUGGGACUGUACCAUCAACACAGUUUUUGUUUGUUUGUUCUUCAGGUGACAUCGAGAGCUCCCCCUGGGAGGUGGGGUUGGGGAUGCUCCUUAGGAACCUCACUGGAAAGAUGAGUCAAGCAGGUAGUUCUCGAGAUACAGCAGGCCAUUCCUGCAGGACUAAAAGCAGCUGCGAUGACUUAUUGGCCAAGAGAGAAAAUGACCAUCCAGCCAAGUCCUUGUAGAAAUGAAAAUGGAACGUAAUGAACCAGUCUCUCUUACACUGGCCUGUCUGCCCCACCCACACUUAGUUUCUUUCCCCACUCUCCCUAUAAUAAAAAUACCAUGGGUUUUAAGACCAUUUCAUCACAUACUUUAUUGGACAUCUCCUGUGG